rnacentral:lncRNA from 1 species
UGUUUUUUGGAAUAAGAAUAUGCUUAACGUAAGAAUUGUUGGAAAAUUUUUCUGAUCUUUUAUUAAAAAAUUCUUUAAAAUUAAUUUGAAAGUUUAAUUUCAAUUUUAAAAAAAUUCCGAAAGAAAAUUAAAUAAUAAAGACCGUAAAGAAAAUGAUUAGAAAAGGCCUGUAAAUCGAGGUAUGCUGAGUACUGUCCUAGAAGCGAAAUUGCCCCUCCAUAUGCGAGGCUUCCCGGCAAUUACAUCCAGCGAUAUAAUGACCACGUUCCACCGCAUCGGCAUGAUUCGAAGGUGGCGCAAGACGAACCCAACAAGCUUUA